rnacentral:piRNA from 1 species
UAAAGAAAAACCUUCAUUACUACUGUCCUA